GAUGAACGCUGGCGGCGUGCUUAACACAUGCAAGUCGAACGAAGCACUUUAUUUGAUUUCCUUCGGGACUGAUUAUUUUGUGACUGAGUGGCGGACGGGUGAGUAACGCGUGGGUAACCUGCCUUGUACAGGGGGAUAACAGUUGGAAACGGCUGCUAAUACCGCAUAAGCGCACGGCAUCGCAUGAUGCAGUGUGAAAAACUCCGGUGGUAUAAGAUGGACCCGCGUUGGAUUAGCUAGUUGGUGGGGUAACGGCCCACCAAGGCGACGAUCCGUAGCCGACCUGAGAGGGUGACCGGCCACAUUGGGACUGAGACACGGCCCAAACUCCUACGGGAGGCAGCAGUGGGGAAUAUUGCACAAUGGGCGAAAGCCUGAUGCAGCGACGCCGCGUGAGCGAAGAAGUAUUUCGGUAUGUAAAGCUCUAUCACCAGGGAAGAUAAUGACGGUACCUGACUAAGAAGCA
rnacentral:rRNA from 1 species